rnacentral:ncRNA from 1 species
UGACCUGAGCUCAGUCGAGAUCACCCGCUGAACUUAAGCAUAUCAGUAAGCGGAGGAAAAGAAACUAAAUAGGAUUCCCUCAGUAACGGCGAGUGAACUGGGAAAUGUCCAUCGCUAAAUCAUUUUGCAUCAAACAUCAUGAGGUGUAGCGUAUAAGCCGUGAUCUUUGAUCAGUUAUCUCAAACAAGUCCUCUUGACAGAGGUUCCAAAGAAGGUGCAAGUCCUGUACAUUGGGAUAACUGAUUGAUAUUUGCGUACUUUAGAGUCGGGUUGCUUGGGAUCGCAGCCCAAAGUCGGUGGUAAACUUCAUCUAAGACUUAAUAUUGCCACGAGUCCGAUAGCAAACAAGUACUGUGAAGGAAAGUUGCAAAGCACUUUGAAGAGAGAGUUAAAGAGGACGUGAAACCGGUGAGGAGGAAACGGAUAGAGUCGGCGUAUCUUGCAAGUAUUCAAUUACUUUAUUAUUGUGUUGUUAUCUCUGAGCUCCGAAAAGAGUUAUUCAUUUACAAAUCGCUGCGUACCAACAUUAAAAGUUAUAGUGCCAAUGGCAAAAUAAAAUAAAAUUUAUACUUUUAUAGAAAAAUGACCCUGAACCAGACGUGGCAAAGGGUUCUACCCCAGUGCCGCAAUUUGCAUUCAAAACUUUUAUGCUCAAUGUUUCUGCAGUUCGCACAAAUUAUCGCAGUUAGCUGCGUUCUUCAUGGAUCCACGAGCCGAGUGAUCCACCGAUAAGGAUAAAAAUUUUCGUUUUUUAAAAAAAAUAGUUGAAAAAAAUAUUGCUGGCGUCCUCACUUAAGAGGCUCAUUAAGUCUUAAACCCGAUUAAGGUCCUAACAUGUCACCUCAUAUUCAGCCACGGACGUUGACAGCUGAAUCAGCAACACCUAGACACCAGCGACAGCCGUUCACAACGAUAAACGUUGAGACUAUUCGAAUUUGAACAUCACAAAAAGUAAUGAUCCAGCAGCAGGUUCACCUACAGCUACCUUGUUACGACUUUUGCCCGGUUCAAGCCACUGCGAUUAAAUUGGUUUCCAUCAAAGUAACUUAAAAAAAUUAGAUCAACAGUCUCCAAGUUUCUCGAAAUGGCUCAGUCCCGGGCAGCGACGGGCGGUGUGUACAAAGGGCAGGGACGUAAUCAACGCGAGCUGAUGACUCGCACUUACUUGGAAUUCCUCGUUCACGGAAAAUAAUUGCAAUUUCCGAUCCCAAUCACGGCAAAUUUUCAAUGGUUUACCCACCCCUUUCGGGGUAGGACAAGCACGUUGAUUUUGCCAGUGUAGCGCGCGUGCAACCCCGGACAUCUAAGGGCAUCACAGACCUGUUAUUGCUCAAUUUCUUUCGGCUGAAAGCCGCAAAUCCCUCUAAGAAGCCGAAUACACGUAAAAUAUGCAUCAGCUAUUUAGUAGGUUAGAGUCUCGCUCGUUAUCGGAAUAAACCAGACAAAUCACUCCACGAACUAAGAACGGCCAUGCACCACCAUCCACUGAAUCAUGAAAAAGCUAUCAAUCUGUCAAUCCUCACAGUGUCCGGGCCGGGUGAGUUUCCCCGUGUUGAGUCAAAUUAAGCCGCAGGCUCCACUCCUGGUGGUGCCCUUCCGUCAAUUCCUUUAAGUUUCAGCUUUGCAACCCUACUUCCCCCGGAACCGGAAGACUUUCGUUUCCGGGAAGCUCCCCACCAAGGCAAAUGAAACUCCUUCGGCGGAUCGCUAGUUGGCAUCCGUUACCGGUCAAAACUAGGGGGGUAUCCUGAUCCCCCUUCAACCCUUAAACAAAAAGGAAGCCUGGGGUUUGCACUUUUAAUGGGGGAUAAAC